rnacentral:snoRNA from 1 species
AAACAUAAUGAGUAAGUUUCUACGAAUCACGACGAACAUCUGACAAAGUUAAUGGAGAUGGUAGAACGUUCUGAU